AAUGGGCUUACGCCUGAACCAGCCAAGUCGCGUGAGGGAAGACUGCCCUAUGGGUUGUAAACCUCUUUUGUCAGGGAGCAACAACAUCUACGAGUAGGUGUUACGAGAGUACCUGAAGAAAAAGCAUCGGCUAACUCCGUGCA
rnacentral:rRNA from 1 species